GAGCUCGCUUGGGUAGCAUAUAUACUAACAUAUGAAUGAUGCAGAGCACAUUGACAUAGCUCCUGCAUAAGUAUGACACAAAUUCGUGAAGUGUUCCAUAUUUUU
rnacentral:snRNA from 1 species